rnacentral:lncRNA from 1 species
GUCCGGAUGUAACACCAAUAAUCAAUACAUUUUAUUUUUCUUUUAAUGGCAUGCAUCCACUUGCUGUAACAACAAAAUCCAAUUUUUUACCAGUCAUAUGUACAAUAUUUAAAAUAAAAUAUUAAAUUUUAAAUUUAUAAAAAUAUCGACCAACUAUAAAAUAAAUUUAGAUCGAUAAAUAGACGAUCAAUUUCUAUCGACUAUAUUUUGAUUUUCUAUUGUAAAAAUCGACAUAUUGACUAUAUUUCGAUUUUCACUGUAAAAAUCAAAAUACCGACUGUAUC